rnacentral:lncRNA from 1 species
AGAAGGCUACCAUUUCUCUCCAGAGAUUGUCAAUGACAGCAGAAACAGCUCGUUCUAUUGUUGGACAUGGUGGAAUUAGGCCUCUAAUCGAGAUAUGCCGUACUGGUGAUUCUGUUUCACAGGCUGCUGCUGCUUGUACCUUAAAGAAUAUAUCUGCUGUGGUUAGGCCUCUAAUUGAGAUUUGCCGUACUGGUGAUUCUGUUUCACAGGCUGCUGCUGCUUGUACCUUAAAAAAUAUAUCUGCUGUGCCAGAAGUUCGACAAGCUCUAGCUGAAGAAGGAAUCAUAAAAGUUAUGAUAAAUCUCCUCGAUUGUGGAAUACUGUUGGGAUCUAAAGAGUAUGCAGCUGAAUGCUUGCAAAAUCUAACUUCCGGAAAUGAUGAUCUUCGACGAUCAGUUGUGUCAGAGGGUGGAAUCAGAAGCCUGUUGGCAUACUUAGACGGCCCGCUUCCCCAUUGCAAAAUCUAACUUCCGGUAAUGAUGAUCUUCGACGAUCAGUUGUGUCAGAGGGUGGAAUCAGAAGCCUGUUGGCAUACUUAGACGGUGCACUUCCCCAAGAAUCAGCUGUAGGGGCCUUGAGAAAUUUGGUUGGCUCCGUCUCAAUGGAGGUUUUAAUCUCGCUAGGUCUCCUUCCGAGGUUGGUUCACGUGCUCAAGUCAGGAUCACUUGGUGCACAACAGGCUGCAGCAUUAGCAGUCUGUCGAAUUUGCACCUCAACUGAGAUGAAGAAACUUUUGGGUGAAGCUGGAUGCAUUCCUCUCCUUAUUAAGAUGUUGGAGGCUAAAGCAAAUGGGGUGAGGGAAGUUGCUGCUCAAGCGAUUGCUAGCCUAAUAUCCCUGGCACAUAAUUGCAGGGA